rnacentral:rRNA from 1 species
GAGGGGCAUCACGGAAAAGCUUGCUUUUCUGGUGGCGACCGGCGCACGGGUGCGGAACGCGUAUGGAACCUGCCCCUGUCAGGGGAAUAGCCCAGGGAAACUUGGAUUAAUGCCCCAUGGUACCGCGAUAUCGCAUGAUAUUGCGGUUAAAGAUUUAUCGGACAGGGAUGGCCAUGCGUACCAUUAGUUAGUUGGUGGGGUAACGGCCCACCAAGGCAGCGAUGGUUAGGGGCCCUGAGAGGGGGAUCCCCCACACUGGUACUGAGACACGGACCAGACUCCUACGGGAGGCAGCAGUGAGGAAUAUUGGACAAUGGGCGGGAGCCUGAUCCAGCCAUGCCGCGUGCAGGAUGACGGCCCUAUGGGUUGUAAACUGCUUUUAUACGGGAAGAAAUGCGCCCACGUGUGGGCGUCUGACGGUACCGUAAGAAUAAGGACCGGCUAACUCCGUGCCAGCAGCCGCGGUAAUACGGAGGGUCCGAGCGUUAUCCGGAAUCAUUGGGUUUAAAGGGUCCGUAGGCGGGCCUGUAAGUCAGGGGUGAAAGUUUGUGGCUCAACCAUAAAAUUGCCUUUGAUACUGCAGGUCUUGAGUCAUGGUGGGGUCGCCGGAACAUGUGGUGUAGCGGUGAAAUGCAUAGAUAUCACAUAGAACACCGAUCGCGAAGGCAGGUGGCCAACCAUGUACUGACGCUGAUGGACGACAGCGUGGGUAGCGAACGGGAUUAGAUACCCCGGUAGUCCACGCCGUAAACGAUGGAUACUAGCUGUGGGGACUUCGGUCUCCGUGGCCAAGCGAAAGU